rnacentral:rRNA from 1 species
UAAGCAUAUCAAUAAGCGGAGGAAAAGAAACCAACAGGGAUUGCCCUAGUAACGGCGAGUGAAGCGGCAACAGCUCAAAUUUGAAAUCUGGCUCUUUUAGAGUCCGAGUUGUAAUUUGCAGAGGGCGCUUUGGCUUUGGCAGCGGUCCAAGUUCCUUGGAACAGGACGUCACAGAGGGUGAGAAUCCCGUACGUGGUCGCUGGCUAUUGCCGUGUAAAGCCCCUUCGACGAGUCGAGUUGUUUGGGAAUGCAGCUCUAAAUGGGAGGUACAUUUCUUCUAAAGCUAAAUAUUGGCCAGAGACCGAUAGCGCACAAGUAGAGUGAUCGAAAGAUGAAAAGCACUUUGGAAAGAGAGUCAAACAGCACGUGAAAUUGUUGAAAGGGAAGCGCUUGCAGCCAGACUUGCUUACAGUUGCUCAUCCGGGUUUUUACCCGGUGCACUCUUCUGUAGGCAGGCCAGCAUCAGUUUGGGCGGUAGGAUAAAGGUCUCUGUCACGUACCUCCUUUCGGGGAGGCCUUAUAGGGGAGACGACAUACUACCAGCCUGGACUGAGGUCCGCGCAUCUGCUAGGAUGCUGGCGUAAUGGCUGUAAGCGGCCCGUCUUGAAACACGGACCAAGGAGUCUAACAUCUAUGCGAGUGUUUGGGUGUCAAGCCCGAGCGCGUAAUGAAAGUGAACGGAGGUGGGAACCCGCAAGGGUGCACCAUCGACCGAUCCUGAUGUCUUCGGAAGGAUUUGAGUAAGAGCAUGGCUGUUGGGACCCGAAAGAUGGUGAACUAUGCUUGAAUAGGGUGAAGCCAGAGGAAACUCUGGUGGAGGCUCGCAGCGGUUCUGACGUGCAAAUCGAUCGUCAAAUUUGGGCAUAGGGGCGAAAGACUAAUCGAACUAUCUAGUAGCUGGUUCCUGCCGA